rnacentral:rRNA from 1 species
GUCAAGUCUGGGCCGGCAGCCGCGGUAAUACAGGGGGGGGAAGCGUGAAUCGGAUUUACGUGGCGUAAAGCGGGAGUAGGUGGCUCGCUAAGUCGAUUGUGAAAGCCCUGGGCUCAACCUGGGAAUUGCAGUCGAUACUGGAGAGCUCGAGUUCGGUAGAGGGUGACGGAAUUCCCGGUGUAGCGGUGAAAUGCGUAGAUAUCGGGAGGAACAUCGAUGGCGAAGGCAAUCACCUGGGCCUGAACUGACACUGAGACACGAAAGCGUGGGUAGCAAACAGGAUUAGAUACCCUUGUAGUC